AGCUAAUAGAUACCCGGGUAGUCCACGCCCUAAACGAUGUCUACUAGUUGUUGGUGGAGUAAAAUCCAUGAGUAAACGCAGCUAAACGCGUGAAGUAGACCGCCUGGGGAGUACGGUCGCAAGAUUAAAAACUCAAAGGAAUUGACGGGGGCCCGCACAAGCGGUGGAUUAUGUGGAUUAAAUUCGAUGCAACGCGAAAAACCUUACCUGGCCUUGACAUGCCACUAACGAAGCAGAGAUGCAUUAGGUGCCCGUAAGGGAAAGUGGACACAGGUGCUGCAUGGCUGUCGUCAGCUCGUGUCGUGAGAUGUUGGGUUAAGUCCCGCAACGAGCGCAACCCUUGCCAUUAAUUGCCAUCAUUUAGUUGGGCACUUUAAUGGGACUGCCGGUGACAAACCGGAGGAAGGUGGGGAUGACGUCAAGUCCUCAUGGCCCUUAUGGCCAGGGCUUCACACGGUAAUACAAUGGUCGGUACAGAGAGUUGCCAACCCGCGAGGGGGUAGCUAAUCUCAGAAAGCCGAUCGUAGUCCGGAUUGUUCUCUGC
rnacentral:rRNA from 1 species